GAUGAACGCUGGCGGCGUGCCUAAUACAUGCAAGUCGAGCGAACGGACGAGAAGCUUGCUUCUCUGAUGUUAGCGGCGGACGGGUGAGUAACACGUGGAUAACCUACCUAUAAGACUGGGAUAACUUCGGGAAACCGGAGCUAAUACCGGAUAAUAUUUUGAACCGCAUGGUUCAAAAGUGAAAGACGGUCUUGCUGUCACUUAUAGAUGGAUCCGCGCUGCAUUAGCUAGUUGGUAAGGUAACGGCUUACCAAGGCAACGAUGCAUGGCCGACCUGAGAGGGUGAUCGGCCACACUGGAACUGAGACACGGUCCAGACUCCUACGGGAGGCAGCAGUAGGGAAUCUUCCGCAAUGAGCGAAAGCCUGACGGAGCAACGCCGCGUGAGUGAUGAAGGUCUUCGGAUCGUAAAACUCUGUUAUUAGGGAAGAACAUAUGUGUAAGUAACUGUGCACAUCUUGACGGUACCUAAUCAGAAAGCCACGGCUAACUACGUG
rnacentral:rRNA from 1 species